rnacentral:rRNA from 1 species
UACGUAGGGUGCAAGCGUUAAUCGGAAUUACUGGGCGUAAAGCGUGCGCAGGCGGUUUUGUAAGUCUGUCGUGAAAGCCCCGGGCUCAACCUGGGAAUUGCAUUGGAUACUGGCAGGCUAGAGUGCGGUAGAGGAUGGCGGAAUUCCCGGUGUAGCAGUGAAAUGCGUAGAGAUCGGGAGGAACAUCUGUGGCGAAGGCGGCCAUCUGGACCAGCACUGACACUGAGGCACGAAAGCGUGGGGAGCGAACAGG